UGGAAUUGUCUCCCUUUCCUACCUUUCUUCCUGUCUGCUUGCACUUAUUAACGCAGCUUGUCUUCUGCUUCCCCGACCUCAUGAAGGGAACUUGCGCCAACACACAUUAACAUCACUGCGGAAUUCUCUCGAAGACAGGAAUAGCACUGCAUAGGAUUAGGAUACAGAUUGUCCCGCUUAAAGCUUUGACACCGCAACACCUCUUUCUUCCCUUGACUACUAACUGUAUGAAGUGAAUCUAUCUCUUACCUCUUAUUACCCAGGAAGUGAAUCUAUCUCUUACCUCUUAUUACCCAGAUCUAUAUGAAACUCGCCAUUGGGAUUCUUAUUCUUCCUCGACCAACCUAAACUUAAAGUGAAGGACCAACAACAGCACAAGUUUCUUACGCGGAGGCAGUAAGUGUACGAGUUGACCGGGCAGUAAGUGUGAUGGAAUUUACGUUUGUUUUAUGAAGUUAAGGAUCGAGGUUAGGUAGAGCAGGAGAAGGAGCAGAUGAAGCCACAAUUCCAGUUCCUUUCGGAUUCUCAAUCUGGUGUGAAAGCCUAUAACUACUGUGUUCAAGCCUAUAACUCCAAAUAAAGUAUUCUACCGGCCCACCGAUUGCCCGAACUCAUAC
rnacentral:lncRNA from 1 species